rnacentral:rRNA from 1 species
GCCGGUAUGAGUAGCGAAAGACAGGUGAGAAUCCUGUCCACCGAAUGACUAAGGUUUCCUGGGGAAGGCUCGUCCGCCCAGGGUUAGUCGGGACCUAAGCCGAGGCCGAAAGGCGUAGGCGAUGGAUAACAGGUUGAUAUUCCUGUACCCGUUGUUUUUGUUUGAGCAAUGGAGGGACGCAGGAGGCUAAGGAAUCAGACGAUUGGAAAUGUCUGUCCAAGCAAUAAGUCUUGAGGUGAGUCAAAUGCUUAAUCUUUUAAGGACAAGUUGUGAUGGGGAGGGAAAUAAUAGUACCGAAGUUCCUGAUGUCACACUGCCAAGAAAAGCUUCUAGUGAGAAAACAACGGCCCGUACCGCAAACCGACACAGGUAGUCGAGGAGAGAAUCCUAAGGUGAGCGAGAGAACUCUCGUUAAGGAACUCGGCAAAAUGACCCCGUAACUUCGGGAGAAGGGGUGCUGAUCGUCAGAUCAGCCGCAGUGAAUAGGCCCAAGCGACUGUUUAUCAAAAACACAGGUCUCUGCAAAAUCGUAAGAUGAAGUAUAGGGGCUGACGCCUGCCCGGUGCUGGAAGGUUAAGAGGAGUGCUUAGCGUAAGCGAAGGUACGAAUUGAAGCCCCAGUAAACGGCGGCCGUAACUAUAACGGUCCUAAGGUAGCGAAAUUCCUUGUCGGGUAAGUUCCGACCCGCACGAAAGGCGUAACGAUUUGGGCACUGUCUCAACGAGAGACUCGGUGAAAUUUUAGUACCUGUGAAGAUGCAGGUUACCCGCGACAGGACGGAAAGACCCCAUGGAGCUUUACUGCAGUUUGAUAUUGAGUGUUUGUACCACAUGUACAGGAUAGGUAGGAGCCGUAGAAGUCGGGACGCUAGUUUCGACAGAGGCGCUGGUGGGAUACUACCCCUGUGUUAUGACCACUCUAACCCGCACCACUAAUCGUGGUGGGAGACAGUGUCAGAUGGGCAGUUUGACUGGGGCGGUCGCCUCCUAAAGAGUAACGGAGGCGCCCAAAGGUUCCCUCAGAAUGGUUGGAAAUCAUUCGCAGAGUGUAAAGGCACAAGGGAGCUUGACUGCGAGACCUACAAGUCGAGCAGGGACGAAAGUCGGGCUUAGUGAUCCGGUGGUUCCGCAUGGAAGGGCCAUCGCUCAACGGAUAAAAGCUACCCUGGGGAUAACAGGCUUAUCUCCCCCAAGAGUCCACAUCGACGGGGAGGUUUGGCACCUCGAUGUCGGCUCGUCGCAUCCUGGGGCUGUAGUCGGUCCCAAGGGUUGGGCUGUUCGCCCAUUAAAG